rnacentral:rRNA from 1 species
AUUGAACGCUGGCGGCAGGCCUAACACAUGCAAGUCGAACGAGUGGCGGACGGGUGAGUAAUGUCUGGGAAACUGCCCGAUGGAGGGGGAUAACUACUGGAAACGGUAGCUAAUACCCCAUACCAUCGGAUGUGCCGAGAUGGGUUAAGCUAGUAGGUGGGGUAACGGCUCACCUAGGCGACGAUCCCUCGCUGGUCGGCGAGGAUGACCAGCAAAACGGGAACGGGGAAACGGUCAAGACUCCUACGGGAGGCAGAAGUGGGGAAUAUUGCACAAUGGGCGAAAGCCUGAUGCAGACAGGCCCCGGGUAGGAGGAGGGCUUUCGGGUUGUAAAGUACUUUCAGAGAGGAGGCGUUACUCGCAGAAGAAGCACCGGCUAACUCCGUGCCAGCAGCCGCGGUAAUUC